ACAGGUGGGUGGGAUGAGUAUUCUAAGGCGCGUGGAAGAACCCUGGUUAAGGAACUCUGCAAACUAGCACCGUAUCUUCGGUAUAAGGUGUGCCUACUUUGGUAUAUGGGCUUGCCCCAAAAAGCUAGAGAGGUUGCAACAGAGAGUCCCUCCCGACUGUUUACCAAAAACACAGCACUUUGCUAACACGUAAGUGGAUGUAUAAGGUGUGACGCCUGCCCGGUGCUCGAAGGUUAACUGAUGAUGUCAGCGCAAGCGAAGCAUUUGAUUGAAGCCCGAGUAAACGGCGGCCGUAACAAUAACGGUCCUAAGGUAGCGAAAUUCCUUGUCGGUUAAAUACCGACCUGCAUGAAUGGCGUAACGAGAUGGGAGCUGUCUCAACCAGGGAUCCAGUGAAAUUGUAGUGGAGGUGAAAAUUCCUCCUACCCGCGGAAAGACGGAAGGACCCCGUGUACCUUUACUACAGCUUGACACUGUAGCUUGGAUAUUCAUGUGCAGGAUAGGUGGGAGGCUAUGAUAUAUGGACGCAAGUACAUAUGGAGCCAUCCUUGAGAUACCACCCUUGAAUAUUUGAGUUACUAACUGCGACGAGUUAACCUCGUUCAGGACAAUGUCUGGUGGGUAGUUUGACUGGGGCGGUCGCCUCCUAAAAAGUAACGGAGGCUUACAAAGGUUAGUUCAAAGCGGUUGGAAAUCGCUUGUUGAGUAUAAUGGCAUAAACUAGCUUGACUGUGAGACAUACAAGUCGAACAGAGACGAAAGUCGGUCAUAGUGAUCCGGUGGUUCUGUGUGGAAGGGCCAUCGCUCAAAGGAUAAAAGGUACGCCGGGGAUAACAGGCUGAUCUCCCCCAAGAGCUCACAUCGACGGGGAGGUUUGGCACCUCGAUGUCGGCUCAUCGCAUCCUGGGGCUGUAGUCGGUCCCAAGGGUAUGGCUGUUCGCCAUUUAAAGCGGUACGCGAGCUGGGUUCAGAACGUCGUGAGACAGUUCGGUCCCUAUCUUCCGUGGGCGUAGGAAAGUUGAAGAGAUUUGUCCCUAGUACGAGAGGACCGGGAUGAACGUACCACUGGUGUACCAAUUGUUCUGCCAAGAGCAUCGUUGGGUAGCUACGUACGGAUGUGAUAAGAGCUGAAAGCAUCUAAGCUCGAAGCCAACUCUAAGAUGAACUUUCCCUGAGGUUCCCAGCAAGACUAGCUGGUUGAUAGGCUGGAUGUGUAAGCGUUGUAAGACGUUUAGCUGACCAGUACUAAUAGAACGUUUGGCUUAAC
rnacentral:rRNA from 1 species